rnacentral:rRNA from 1 species
GACGUAGGGGGCCAGCGUUGCUCGGAAUUACUGGGCGUAAAGGGUUCGUAGGCGGUGCGGCAAGUCGGGAGUGAAAUCUCUGGGCUUAACUCAGGGGCUGCUUCCGAAACUGCCGUGCUUGAGUGCGGGAGAGGCGAGUGGAAUUGCAGGUGUAGCGGUGAAAUGCGUAGAUAUCUGCAGGAACACCCGUGGCGAAGGCGGCUCGCUGGACCGCAACUGACGCUGAGGACGAAAGCUACGGGAGCAAACAGG